UACAGAGGGUGCGAACGUUGCUCGGAAUUACUGGGCGUAAAGGGCGCGUAGGCGGCCUUCUAAGUCAGACGUGAAAUCCCCCGGCUUAACCUGGGAACUGCGUCUGAUACUGGAUGGCUUGAGUAUGGGAGAGGGAUGUAGAAUUCCAGGUGUAGCGGUGAAAUGCGUAGAUAUCUGGAGGAAUACCGGUGGCGAAGGCGGCAUCCUGGACCAUUACUGACGCUGAGGCGCGAAAGCUAGGGGAGCAAACGGGG
rnacentral:rRNA from 1 species